CUAACAUUUUUUUUCAUCUUUAAGGUACCUCAUAGUGUGUACUCACAAAAUCGAUUGAACAAUGAAUGUAAACAAUAAGCCAUUGUAGAUAGCAUAUGUACAGCAUUGGACGGUAUUAUCAGCCCUACCCGCUGGACGCAAGUGAGAGGACUAUAAGUAUAUUUAUGUGUUAGCCGCGGCAAUAGGACCGAGUAGCUAGGUAACGUUUACCUGAGACGAAAUUUAUAUAAUGGUGUACAUUUUUGAUAUGAUGUUGUACAAAAGAGACAUUUGGUAUGUUAUUUUAUAGGAAUGAAAUAAAUAGCCUUAAUAAACAA